GAAAAGCUCUAUCAACCCUAUUCUCUUCUCACUUUUACAAUAUCAAGAGAUGGGUGAGGUAGUUAAGGGAGCUGUUCCAGUUCCAGAGUCAGUAUUGAAGAAGCAAAAAAGGAGCGAGGAAUGGGCCCUUGCAAAGACACAAGAGCUUGUAGCUGCAAAGAAGAAAAGUGCUGAGAACCGGAAAUUGAUCUACAACAGAGCUAAGCAGUAUGCUAAGGAGUACGACCAGCAGGAAAAGGAGUUGAUCCGUUUGAAGCGUGAGGCUAGAUUGAAGGGUGGUUUCUAUGUUGACCCUGAAGCUAAGCUGUUGUUUAUCACUAGAAUCCGUGGGAUUAACGCUAUGCCUCCACAGACCAAAAAGAUAUUGCAGCUUCUACGGUUGAGACAGAUCUUUAAUGGUGUCUUUUUG
rnacentral:misc_RNA from 1 species